GGGCUGCUAGCUCAAGGGUAGAGCAGCUGACUCUUAAUCAGUAGGUUCGGGGUUCGAAUCCCUGGCAGCCCACCA
rnacentral:tRNA from 1 species